rnacentral:rRNA from 1 species
UGGCGAACGGGUGAGUAACGCGUGAGGAACCUGCCUCAAAGAGGGGGACAACAGUUGGAAACGACUGCUAAUACCGCAUAAGCCCACGGGUCGGCAUCGACCUGAGGGAAAAGGAGCAAUCCGCUUUGAGAUGGCCUCGCGUCCGAUUAGCUAGUUGGUGAGGUAACGGCCCACCAGGGCGACGAUCGGUAGCCGGACUGAGAGGUUGAACGGCCACAUUGGGACUGAGACACGGCCCAG